UUUUUUUUUUCUUUUUUUUUUUCAGAAUUAAUUUAUUUAUUAAUUUUUUUUAAUGAAAAAUGUAAACUGUAAAAGGUGUUGGAUAUUAGGAAUCAUGUCCAGAAGAGAGUUAGUGAUGACUGGAAUAAUUCUAUAAUGAAUAAAGGUUCAAUUUUCACCCCCGUGUAUUUUUGAGAUAUUUAAUUUAAAUUAAAAAUUUUAAAUUUUAAAUUAAAUUUCUGAAUUUUUUUAACUAAAUUUCUUAAUUUUUAAUAAAAUUGAGCAUAAAUUGAUUUUUGAGUUCAAGAAUCGGUUUCCUUUCCCUCUCAAACUCCACAAAUAGAACUUUUAGAACAUGGAGUUACGGUGGAAGAAGUAUUGGGUUGUUUUCUUUUCCUUAUUGUUGUAGUGCAAGAGUUGGCAGGAAGAAAGAAAAACUGGCAAUUAAAGGACUUGCAAAUUGCAAUGCCUAUACUCCUCAUUGUCAAAAUUUAGACAGGAGACUUUUUCAAUGUGAUAAGGUGAAAGCAGGAGGCAAAAAAGAAGAACCCUAUUGUAAUUGAUAGAUAGGACAGGUUCUUUCACAUGAUAAAUUUGUAAAAAGUUAAAGGAGUUUUCAAGAAAAUGGAGCUUGAAAACUGCUUGAUUUUGACAUAACAUUCCUGUGUUUUCAGGGAAAGGAAAGUAGUAGGUGGGUGGUUCACACAUCACAAAGACAGACAAAGACAAACGAAAGCCUGUAGGAGUUGCUAAGUUCUAUGAGCAUCUACCCAUCCACAGAGGGACCAUCUUUAACUUUUAAUACAAAAGGAACCAACCACUUUCUCUUCCCAGAAGCUCCCAAGAAAUUCUUUGUUGCUUGCUUAGAUAAUCCCUUAAUGACACAAGCCUUCUAGUUAAUCUUCGUUAACUUUUGAAGAACAUGUUCAACACCAUCUCAAGUCAAAAAGAUUAAUGUUAUAUGAAUUCUGUGGUUAUAUAGGAAAUACUCCAAGCAACUCUCAAUGCAACAUUAAGCAUAUGGCCAAUAUCUAAUCCAAUGGCAGGCAGGAAAAAAGAAAAUAACAGUAGGCAAGAACUCUUCAGAUUGUGACCAUCAGUUACUAACAAUAACACACGCAUCUACUCUGCAUUAUGUUUUGUCCCUAUGCAUUGUCAUUAUGAUAUGUGAUGCCUCAGCCAAAACUUGUUACACAUGGUGAUGAAGGCCAUGUUCCUAUUUGUCCAUGUACACAAGCAGUUGAUGAUGAAAGAACGGGAUACAUCAGCGCAAGUCAAAGAUUUCAAACCUCAGGUUAGAAUUUGUAUAUACAUUGGAGCAGUGCUCAUAAAUGGGGCUUCCAUUUGCAGGUUCGCUGUGAGUAUGAAAUCCAGUCUCCUGACACUCCUUCAGAACAUCCAUCCCAUCUGGGUCAGAUAGCCUGAAUAUUCCAUAGCUCCUGCAUGCAAAAAAUGAGACAAAGGCCGAAAUUGUUAAUACAGAAAAUCAUCUCCAAUUUUUACACAGAUUUGUAUCUAGGCAUUGAUGAGUGUAUUUCAUAUUGUUCUGCAUUAAAAGAAUAUAGCAGACAGCUCAGAAUUCUUCCUUCUUCUUUUUUUUUGGCAAAUAAUACACAAUUUAUUUUGUGUUGCUGAUUUUUUUGCUUUACACCCUUGCUAAACAUAGAGUAAGGGUAGAUAGAGUUUCAAAAUAAACUUCUACUCUUGGUAAAUUAAGUUGGCUUAAGGAGACUGUCACAUCAAAUUAGUUAGCUGCCUUGAGCCCAUGCCUUCUAAUGCUUUCCAAAAUUCAAGCCACCCAAACUUCAUAGACUGCACAGCCAAACUAUCUCAAACACAUGCAAAGCAGAAAACAAGCAUGCACAAAAAAUGAAUGAAACUACGAUGAGAAUGUUGAGUUGGAAGAGUGCUAAGACAAGAAUGGAUGGAUUAUAUAGCAAGAAAUCUGAGUCAGGCGGUGUCUUCAAAGAAAGAGUGUCAGCAAAGACAAAUUGGUCUUGUGUGACAGAUACUAAUGUCUAAACUAGUAAGGAUUGGCAUAUUGCUCAUUAGAGGUGCUAUCAUGCAAGGAGAAGGCUUAAAAAUGAGGAAUGACCAUGUCUGUGAUAACAAACACCAUUGAAAAACAAUUUGAAAGUCAUACUGUGGAAAACUACAUAUAGCAAAUGCUAUAAUCGAAAACCAUGCAUUGGGAUAAGGUACUGUUACUUUAACUUGUAUAAAUAUGAACAGCUUUUGGAUAUUGAGUGGGAAGAAAAAGUGGGGGUGGGGAAGGGAAGGGGAAGACAUCUUCACAUCAAUUGUUCAAAAUUCCAACUUGGCAGUUGUUUUAAGUGUUGUCUGAGAGUUGCAAACCUUGAGGAAUCUGUUGGAGCCAUGACAAUAGCAAUGGCCUCUGGUAUCAUUAUCUGAAAGCAGAAAGAAUAAAAGAAAUGAAAAUUGUCAAAUUUUAACAGCAACAUCAAUGGCAUAAAAGAAAACAGAUUCAAGAAAUACUGGAUCAGAAGUAUUAUUAACAAGAGGGUAAAGAUUCAAGUAAACUUUGUCAUUUAGUAGCAUUUCAUCUAUUUUGCAGGACUUCUAAUGCCUUUAACUAUCAAAAAGGAUAAUGACCUUACCUACCACAGAAACUGACAUAACUUGAUAAUUGCAAUGGAAUCAACAGUUGACUUGAUUACCUGAUACGAGUAUUGAGUGUGUAGAUCUAUUGAUGACAUGAAACAACUUUGAGAAGGAUGUGUCUGAAAAUAUAGAUAAUAAACUAAGCAUUAAUUCUAAGGGUAUUUAAAAGCUAGCAUUAAAAAAUAGAAAAGAAUUACUUCAAAGAAGCAUUCGAAGUUAAUAAAGUAAAAUAACAUCACAGGAAAGGAACAAACAGACAUGAAUCCAUCCCACAGGAAAAAGUGAAUGUUCAUUCUGUAUGGCAAAAAAUUCUUCCUCUUUUAUAGCCUCGCACUGUAUCCGUGAUUAGCAGUAAAGAAGUUAGGCCCCAUAAAAUUUAUAGCAACUGACAUCAAAAACCCAAUCAAAAAGAGUACUCACAGAAUUGGAAGUUGACUUUUGUUUGGGAAUUAUCAGGGUGGUAACAUAGUAAGUGCCCUUUUCAAGGAAAGCACCAAGAACCCCACAGGUUUCCAGAUCCUUCUCUGUAUUUUCUCUAGCAAGUUCAAGAAAAUUGUCCAUCAACCGUGCUGAUACAUGUAUGUCUUGGAGGGUGUUAGAUGCUGCUGGCUGACAGCAUGAAUUUGUAUCUGAAUUGGCAACUGGUAUGAGUGAAACAUGAGCAUGUUUAGGUGGCUUCUCUACACAUGAAAGUACGGGAGAAGGAGAAGACUGAGUAACAGUAUGAACAGAGAUAUGCUGGCAUUUGCAGUCUGUCUGAAACAGGUUCUGACGGGGAAAUUCAAGUGUAUACAAACAGAGGCUAGAAUCCAUUGAAUACAAAGGUGCUAGCUCAAUGUCAUCUUCAUGGAUGAUACUUAAUCUUUGAUCUCUUGCUUCUGCCAUACCACAAUUCUCAGCCUCGAAACUUGGAGGUGUUGAAUCAUGUCCAACCACCGAUUUCAACGUUCCCAGCUCCUGACCAACUGUCCGUAAAAUGAAGUAAAUAAUUUUCAGCGUCGCUGAUGGGGAAAAGGGAAAGGAAAAGCUUCAAGAAGAAGGCCAACAAGUGGAGGAGUUAGAUAAGGAUAGAAUCUAAGUUGGUGUGUUACUUUCUUGUCUUAAGCGGGCGAUUCAGUUGAUGGAUGGGUACUGGAAAUUGAGCUCGAAUCAGGUGUGAGCUUCUCUUGCAAUGUUUAGUGGAACUCAAAGUGACCGUUUUUAAUCUGUUGGAUUGGAUUCCAUCCUGCAAGGGGCUAAUUUUAGCCCAAUUCAUUUCCCACCACAUAUCCCCUCCCGCCAUCAAGCUCCUGUACUUUGAAGAACUUCAGCAACUCAACAUUUCUGCAUUGGAGUAUCGGCAAUCAAAUGCACAUAAACCAUUCUAUCUUGAAUUGGCUUCAAAUUGGCUGGAAUGAUAUGAUAAUUUGAUGACUAAACUGGCUGCUUUUCAGUCAUUUCACCAUGAGAGGUGUGUCAAGGCCCCCAUUUUCAGGCUUUAAUUCUUUGAUUCUUGCAUUAUUACUCAGGCCAUUAGGCAUUGCAUUAACUUUUUU
rnacentral:misc_RNA from 1 species